rnacentral:rRNA from 1 species
AGCUGCGGCAGCGACGCUGAUGCGUUGUUGGGUAGGGGAGCGUUCUGUAAGCCUGCGAAGGUGGCCUGUGAGGGUUGCUGGAGGUAUCAGAAGUGCGAAUGCUGACAUAAGUAACGAUAAAGCGGGUGAAAAGCCCGCUCGCCGGAAGACCAAGGGUUCCUGUCCAACGUUAAUCGGGGCAGGGUGAGUCGACCCCUAAGGCGAGGCCGAAAGGCGUAGUCGAUGGGAAACGGGUUAAUAUUCCCGUACUUGGUGUUACUGCGAAGGGGGGACGGAGAAGGCUAUGUUGGCCGGGCGACGGUUGUCCCGGUUUAAGCGUGUAGGUGUGUGUUCCAGGUAAAUCCGGUUCACUUUAACACUGAGGCGUGAUGACGAGGCACUACGGUGCUGAAGCAACAAAUGCCCUGCUUCCAGGAAAAGCCUCUAAGCAUCAGGUAACAUCAAAUCGUACCCCAAACCGACACAGGUGGUCAGGUAGAGAAUACCAAGGCGCUUGAGAGAACUCGGGUGAAGGAACUAGGCAAAAUGGUGCCGUAACUUCGGGAGAAGGCACGCUGACACGUAGGUGAAGUGAUUUACUCAUGGAGCUGAAGUCAGUCGAAGAUACCAGCUGGCUGCAACUGUUUAUUAAAAACACAGCACUGUGCAAACACGAAAGUGGACGUAUACGGUGUGACGCCUGCCCGGUGCCGGAAGGUUAAUUGAUGGGGUCAGCGCAAGCGAAGCUCCUGAUCGAAGCCCCGGUAAACGGCGGCCGUAACUAUAACGGUCCUAAGGUAGCGAAAUUCCUUGUCGGGUAAGUUCCGACCUGCACGAAUGGCGUAAUGAUGGCCAGGCUGUCUCCACCCGAGACUCAGUGAAAUUGAACUCGCUGUGAAGAUGCAGUGUACCCGCGGCAAGACGGAAAGACCCCGUGAACCUUUACUAUAGCUUGACACUGAACAUUGAGCCUUGAUGUGUAGGAUAGGUGGGAGGCUUUGAAGUGUGGACGCCAGUCUGCAUGGAGCCGGCCUUGAAAUACCACCCUUUAAUGUUUGAUGUUCUAACGUGGACCCGUGAUCCGGGUUGCGGACAGUGUCUGGUGGGUAGUUUGACUGGGGCGGUCUCCUCCUAAAGAGUAACGGAGGAGCACGAAGGUUGGCUAAUCCUGGUCGGACAUCAGGAGGUUAGUGCAAUGGCAUAAGCCAGCUUGACUGCGAGCGUGACGGCGCGAGCAGGUGCGAAAGCAGGUCAUAGUGAUCCGGUGGUUCUGAAUGGAAGGGCCAUCGCUCAACGGAUAAAAGGUACUCCGGGGAUAACAGGCUGAUACCGCCCAAGAGUUCAUAUCGACGGCGGUGUUUGGCACCUCGAUGUCGGCUCAUCACAUCCUGGGGCUGAAGUAGGUCCCAAGGGUAUGGCUGUUCGCCAUUUAAAGUGGUACGCGAGCUGGGUUUAGAACGUCGUGAGACAGUUCGGUCCCUAUCUGCCGUGGGCGCUGGAGAACUGAGGGGGGCUGCUCCUAGUACGAGAGGACCGGAGUGGACGCAUCACUGGUGUUCGGGUUGUCAUGCCAAUGGCACUGCCCGGUAGCUAAAUGCGGAAGAGAUAAGUGCUGAAAGCAUCUAAGCACGAAACUUGCCCCGAGAUGAGUUCUCCCUGAGACUUAGAGUCUCCUGAAGGAACGUUGAAGACGACGACGUUGAUAGGCCGGGUGUGUAAGCGCAGCGAUGCGUUGAGCUAACCGGUACUAAUGAACCGUGAGGCUUAACCUUACA